UACGAAGGGGGCGAGCGUUGUUCGGAUUUACUGGGCGUAAAGCGCACGUAGGCGGAUUGCUAAGUCAGGGGUGAAAUCCUGGAGCUCAACUCCAGAACUGCCUUUGAUACUGGCAAUCUCGAGUCCGGGAGAGGUGAGUGGAACUGCGAGUGUAGAGGUGAAAUUCGUAGAUAUUCGCAAGAACACCAGUGGCGAAGGCGGCUCACUGGCCCGGUACUGACGCUGAGGUGCGAAAGCGUGGGGAGCAAACAGG
rnacentral:rRNA from 1 species